CAAAUGGUUUUUUGUUGUUGAGUACUGAGGACUGAACCUAGAAAUUUUGCACUGAUCUACAUCCCCAUCUCUGUUUUUGAGAUGGGAAGUCUCAUUAAACUGCUAACUUGCACAGUCUAGGCUGUUUUACUCAGACCUAUAGAGAUCAUCCUGCCUCAGCUUCUCUAGUGCUGAGAUUACAGGCAUGUGCCAUCACAACUCAUUUUUAAUUUCUAAUCCAGCACCUAUUAAUAGAUAUUAAUAUUUUUAAUUAGGUUUUUUGAUAUAGUGAUUUUAGAUAUACAUUUUAGAUACAGUGAUUUUAGAUAUACAUUCAUUAUAGGGAAUUUGUACCUGUACAUAUGUCUUGUGUUUUUUUUUCUCAUUCCCCUUCCCUUCCUUCACCUCCUUGUCCUCCUUAUUUACUAAAGCUUUGUUUUAAUUUUUUUCCAUUCUUUUUUUUUGUCCCUUCCUUCCUUUUCCCCUUCCCAAUCUUGUUCCCCAUCCCAUUUGAAUAUAUUCUUCUCAUUUCCCAAUAUCUAUUAUAUAUUUUGGUUCUUAUUUACAUUUUUGGUUUCCCUUACCAGAGAAAUAAUGCAGUAUUUAGACAUGUGCAGGGGCUGGAGAGAUAGCUCAGCAGCACAGUGCCUGCCUGGCAAGUGUCAGGUCAUGAGUUUGAUUCCCGAUACCAAUAAAUAAAUAAAUAAGUUUCUGAUUUAUUUUACUUAAGAGUGGUAAUAGUGUCAGCCUUGUCUUUUUCAUGAUUUUAGAGUGAAAGCUUUCAGUUUUUUCCAUUUAUAAUGACAUUGGCUGUUGGUUUGUCAUAAAUGGCAAUUGAAAUAAAAACCAUCUAUUCCUGACCCCAGGCAUGGUGGUGUAUGCCUGUAAUGCCAGCACUUGGUAGGCUGAGGCAGGAGGGCUGCUGCAAGUUCAAGACCAGCCUGAACUGCAUAGUGAGACCCUGUCUCAGAAAGACAGAAAAAAAUAAAAAAACAAAAAAACCCCACAAGACUUCCUGGAAGAUGGCAGAGUAGUAGUAAGCAGCAGAGAAAACAGUCUCUCUGAGAGACAUCAUCUAUACAUGGGAAUAUACCCACAAGACAAGAAUUCUACAGUCUGAAUUGAAGCCCACAGAGAGAAUAAAAAGAAAAACUUCAAUGAGGAAGAAGGUGGUAGCUGGUGGCGCCUUUGCAUGGAGCCAGACUCAUUGCAUGAGGGACCUGUGGUCACAGGAACAGUGGCAGUUGGUGACCCCAGAAGCCUUUGCAGAGAGACUCAGCAGUGGAGGGGAGCAGCAGCAUACAGUACUGGCUGGCAGUGAGUGCAGAGGAUUCAGUCCUCCCGCGGGAGGGAGCAAUUGGCUGGGAGCCAUUUUGGAGUAUGCCAGAUAAACCCAGAACCAGAACCAGAACCUUUGCCAGCUUCCUCCAGUAGCUCCUGGCUGGGCACAGAACCUUGGAAAUCACUUGGACUGCAACAAGCCCAAUGAGCCUGGUCUCAGGACAGACCUGCUAAGGUUGUCUACUACUUGGUCAUAAAGCAACUCCUGGCUUGCAAGGAAACAGUGGCAUGAUUUGGGAAGCUGUCUUCACAGGCUCUCUAUCAGUGCAUCCAAAGAGAGUCCCAGAAGUGGACUAUUUUUUGUUUUCUUUUCCUUUUUUCUUGUUUUAUUCAGUUUAAGAAAUGAGAAGACACUUAAACAAAACACAACCUCAGACACCCAGUUCACCAAAAGCAAACCCAGUGGGCAAUGAGGCUGGAAAAUCCAAAAGCACCCUACCAAGUCUCUCCACAGUGGUAACAAAGCAAUUGAAUGAGGUCUGGAAAAAGUGAAAUUAGAAAUAAUCUCUCAAGUAACUACAGAGAUUAUAAAAGUACACAUAAAAGUAUUGAUGUUAGAGCAAACACAGACAAAGAAAUAAAUGCGCUUAAGCAAAUUAUGGAAGCACAAUAUAGGAAAGAAAUGGAAUCCAUAAAGCAGAUUCAAGCAGAUAUCCAGGAGAAUAAAAACAAUACUGAAAAUCUUUGAAGCAGAUUAAGCCAGUGUGAGGACAAGAUCUCAGAUACCGAAGACAGGCUUGCAGUUAGUGACCAGGGGGGGGGGAAAAGCAUUUAUCAAAACUAGCAAGGAACCAUGAAAAAUCAAUCCAGCAGCUGCUAGAUGAGACAAAGAAAAAUAAUUUAACAUUAAUUCCAGUCAAUGCACAAACAGGACAUACCACAAAUGACAUUAAAAACAUCCUUACAGACACCAUGUCAGAAACUUUCCUGGUAGAAAAAAAGAAUUUGACAGAAAUACGUGAGGCAUAUAGAACUCCAAUUAGCAUCCAUAAAAAAAAAAAAAAAAAAAAACCACUACAUCCAGGCAUAUCAUAGUCAAGAUGCCAUAAAUUCAGCACAAGAAUAGAAUCUUAAAAGCUCUCAGGGAAAACAAGUCACUUAUAAAGGAAAGCUUAUCAGAAUUAUAGCUGAGGGGCUGGGGAUUUAGCUCAGUGGCAUAAGCACCUGCCUUGCAAGUGUGUGAUCAUGAGUUCGAUCCCUGGUAAUGAUAAAAAAAAAAAAAAAAGACAAAAAAAAUUACAGCUGACUUCUCAGCACAAACUAUCAAGUCAAGGCGAGCUUGGAGUGACGUACUCCAAGUUCUAAAAGAAAACAGCUUUUUUUUUUUUUAAUUGGUACUGGGAUUGAACUCAUGACCACCUGCUUCAAGGCAGGUGCUUAUACCGCUGAGCUAAAUCCCCAGCCCCAGGAAAACAACUUUCAACACAGAUUGAUGUACCCUGAAAAACUAUGUUUCAAAAUUAAUGGAGAAAUAAGAUACUUCCAUGACAAAGACCAUCUGAGGAAAUUUAUGACCACUAAACUAGCACUUCAAAAUGUUCUGAAGGACAUUCUACAAAGGGAUUAUAAGAACUACAGCUCCAUGAACCCCAACAGAAGGAAUCCACCAGGAAAGGCAGACAAUUAGAGGGAAAGGGGAAAAAGCGGGGGAGGGGAGCAAUAAUAGGAAAAUAACAUGACAAAGAUGUCAAUACAUAGCAAUUUUAACCAGUAAUGUUAAUGGUCUUAUUUCACCAGUCAAAAGACACAGACUGGCAGAAUGGAUCAAGAAGUAAGAUCCAACAGUAUACUGUAUACAAGAAACACAUGUAAUUCAAAAAGAUUUAUAGACUAAAAGUCAAAGGAUGGAUAACAAUACUCUAUACAACAGGAAUUCAGAAAAAAGCAGGGGUUGCUAUUCUCUUUGCAAACAGUGAAUUUCAAGCCAAGAUUGAUUAAGAGAGAUAAAGAAGGUCACUAUAUCCUGGUAAAGAGAACAAUCCAAGAGGAAGAGAUAAUCAUAAAUAUGUAUUCAACAAAGAUCAGUGCACUCAGUUAUAUAAAACAAUUAUUAAUGGACAUGAAAAAUCAAGCCUUAGUACAACUGUAUUGGGAGACCAGAAUACACUGCUGUCACAAAAAGACAGCCAACUGGACAAAAAGAUAAUGAAAUAUCAGAACUAAAUCAAACUUUUGAGCAAACGGAUUUAGAAGAUGUCUAUAGUGUUUCAUUCCACAACAUCAGACAUGGGACACAUGAGACAUUCUCCAAAACACACCAUACACUGGAACUGAAAUUAUCCCAUGCAUACUAUCAGAUCACAGUGCAAUGAAAUUGGAAACCUUUGGCAAAGGAAACCACAAGUACUUCAUCAAUCCAUGGAAAUUAAAUAGCACCCUAGUAAACAAUCAGUGGGUCACAGAUGAAAUUAAAGAAGCAAUUAGACACUUUUUACAGUUGAGUGAUAAAGACAACAUACCAGAACUUGCAGGACACAGUGAAAGCAGUCUCAAGAAGGAAAUUUGUAGCAACAAAUACCCAUAUCAGAAAAACAGAGCAAGAAUAUAUAAACAACUUAAUGUUGAACCUCAAACUUCUAGAAAAAGAAGAGCAGACUAAACCAAAAGCUCAUACAAGGGAGAAAAUUAUAAGGAUCAGAGCAGACAUUAGCAGACUGGAGACUAAAAAAACAAUACAAAGAAUUAAUAAAUUGAAGAAUUGGUUCUUUGAAAGAUUAAAAUUGAUAAAGCUUUGGCCAACCUUAUCAAAAAAAAGGAAAGAAAAGACUCAGAUCCAUGCAAUUAAGAAUGAAAAGGGCGAAACCACAAUAGACCUUGUAGAAAUCCAGAAAAUCAUCUAUUCCUACUUUAAAAACUUGUAUUAUAAUGAAAAAUACAGAAGAAAUGCACAGAUUCCUAGAUCCAUAUGAAUUACCAAAGCCGAACAAAGAAGAUAUAAAAAUCCUAAAUAACCCAUAUCAAUACUUGAAAUUUAACAUGUAAUUAAAAGCCGGGCGUGGUGGCGCACUCUUGUAAUCCUAACACUCAGGAGGCUGAGACAGGAGGAUCAUUGCAAGUCUGAGACCAGCCUGGGCUACAAAGUGAAUGCAAGGCCAGCCUGAACUGCAUAGUGAGACCCUGUUCAGAAAGACAAAAAAAAAAAAAAAGUAAUUAAAAACCUUUGGAUAGGGGCUGGAGAUUAUUUAGCUCAGCAGCAUGAGUGCCUGUCUUGCAAGCAGGCAGUCGUGAGUUCGAUCCCCGGUACCAAUAAAAAAGGAAAAAAAAAAAAAACCUAUCGAUAAGACAAUGAUGUACUACCAAGCACAUAUCUGAAGUGAGUGUGUGGACAGCACUAACCUGAGUCUUUUCCACAGGCCAGGUUGCUCAUCCUGCCUUCUCUCUGCAGCCUGCUGUCUGUUCAUGUGUGUUGAGAUGAAUCUGUCAGGGCAUGUCCCAGUGAAAUUCUCACCGGGCAUCUGAAAGCAGGUGUGGCCCAGCAGUUGUUUUACUCUUUUUCCCACAAGUAGAAAUAGAAGCAGAAGAAAUAGAGGUGUAUGCACUGUGGGUUCUCAGCUCCCUGCCUGGGGCUGGCAGUGAUGCAGGUACUGAAUGGCUAGAGUAUUCUGGGGUGGUCUUGUGUGUUGGUCUUUUAUUCAGCCUCGCUGCGGUUUUGGAGGGGAACAUCUCACUUGGUAAUUGUGUUUAUCAGUCUCAGCACCUCUGUUCUUUUUUAGGUGGUAAGGGUCAGGUUUCCAUAGGUAGAGAAUUAUGUCUGUAUCCGAGAACAUUUUAAUGUUAUAACCAUGCCACUUCCUACCCUUCGUCCCAAUCUGCUGCACUUGCAGAUGUCAUACAUCUUGCUAGUUGUGCUGAUGGAGAUUGGCCACCUGGUGAUGGGCAUUACCCAGAUGUGCCACUCCGAGAUAAUGUCAGUCUGUAGGAUGGGAGUAAUUUGAGAAACACCAGGAACUCCUGAGAUUGUCAGAGCUAAGUGGACAGCAAUACAGUUUCCAGACUCGGGUCAACAAGUUUGAUGGCUCUGCAGGUUUCUUUGUCCCCCCCCCCCCCCUUUCCUCCAGCCUCCUUUUAAAGUCCUCCCUUCAGUCUCUGGGACACAGUCUCCAAAUUGGCUCCCGGAGACUCGUCGCCAGGCCUGGAAAUAAAGCCUUUGCUACCUAAAUUUUCGGUCUCUUGCUUCCUUGGAUUUUAUACCGGGGCCCGAGUUAUAACAGUACCUUUGUGUGUAUCUCACCUGAGCCUGAUGAUGCCACAAGAUCCUCAAGACUGGUCUGGGCUAAACAGAUGUGUUUCUUACAGGGGAAAAAAAAAACCUAUCAAUAAAGUAUAGGCCAUGAUGGAUUCACUGCUCAAUUCUACAAGAAAUUUAGAGAAGACCUAAGACCACUACUUUUCAAGCUCUUUAAUGAAAUUCAAAGGGAAGCAGUACUCUCAAAUUCAGUUCUGGAAGCAAGCAUUACUCUGAUUCCAAAACCAGAAAAGGACCCAACUAAAAAAAUGAAUUACAGGCCAGUCUCCAUAAUGAACAUUGAUGCAAAAUCCUUAAGGUAUUUGCAAACAGAUUGCAGCAAAUCGUCAAACAGAUUGUAUACCAUGAUCAAGUGGGAUUUAUCCCAGGGAUGCAGGGAUGGUUCAACAUAUGUAAAUCCAUAAAUGUAAUGUACCAUAUUAACAGAGCUGAGGACAAUAAUUAUAUGAUCAUUGCAAUAGAUGCACAAAAUGUUUUUUUUUUUUUUUUUUUUUUUUGGUACCAGGGAUUGAA